AACGAACGCUGGCGGCAUGCCUAACACAUGCAAGUCGAACGAGACCUUCGGGUCUAGUGGCGCACGGGUGCGUAACGCGUGGGAACCUGCCCUUAGGUUCGGAAUAACUCCCCGAAAGGGGUGCUAAUACCGGAUAAUGUCUUCGGACCAAAGAUUUAUCGCCUUUGGAUGGGCCCGCGUUGGAUUAGCUAGUUGGUAGGGUAAAAGCCUACCAAGGCGACGAUCCAUAGCUGGUCUGAGAGGAUGAUCAGCCACACUGGGACUGAGACACGGCCCAGACUCCUACGGGAGGCAGCAGUGGGGAAUAUUGGACAAUGGGUGAAAGCCUGAUCCAGCAAUGCCGCGUGAGUGAUGAAGGCCUUAGGGUUGUAAAGCUCUUUUACCCGGGAUGAUAAUGACAGUACCGGGAGAAUAAGCUCCGGCUAUCUCCGUG
rnacentral:rRNA from 1 species